AGCUUUGCGCAGUGGCAGUAUUGUAGCCAAUGAGGUUUAUCCAAGGCACAAUUAUUGCUAAAAAAAAAUCCUCAGGUGAGGAUUAAAAAUAAAUAAUAAAUAAAUAAAAUGGGGCUAAUAAUUGUGUCCCCUAUGCGGG